GACGAACGCUGGCGGCGUGCUUAACACAUGCAAGUCGAACGAUGAAGCCCUUCGGGUGGAUUAGUGGCGAACGGGUGAGUAACACGUGGGCAAUCUGCCCUUCACUCUGGGACAAGCCCUGGAAACGGGGUCGUAAUACCGGAUAUGACACACGGCCGCAUGGUCUGUGUGUGGAAAGCUCCGGCGGUGAAGGAUGAGCCCGCGGCCUAUCAGCUUGUUGGUGGGGUGGANGGCCUACCAAGGCGACGACGGGUAGCCGGCCUGAGAGGGCGACCGGCCACACUGGGACUGAGACACGGCCCAG
rnacentral:rRNA from 1 species